rnacentral:rRNA from 1 species
GACGAACGCUGGCGGCGUGCUUAACACAUGCAAGUCGAACGGAAAGGCCCUGCUUGCAGGGUACUCGAGUGGCGAACGGGUGAGUAACACGUGGGUGAUCUGCCCUGCACUUCGGGAUAAGCCUGGGAAACUGGGUCUAAUACCGGAUAGGAGCCAUUUUUAGUGUGAUGGUUGGAAAGUUUUUUCGGUGUAGGAUGAGCUCGCGGCCUAUCAGCUUGUUGGUGGGGUAAUGGCCUACCAAGGCGGCGACGGGUAGCCGGCCUGAGAGGGUGGACGGCCACAUUGGGACUGAGAUACGGCCCAGACUCCUACGGGAGGCAGCAGUGGGGAAUAUUGCACAAUGGGCGCAAGCCUGAUGCAGCGACGCCGCGUGGGGGAUGACGGCCUUCGGGUUGUAAACUCCUUUCGCUAGGGACGAAGCUUUUUGUAACGGUACCUAGAUAAGAAGCACCGGCUAACUACGCG